AAAAAGUGAUACUUCUAAGCCGAAUUUCGAACAUCGGUCAAUUCCAAACGAAAGAGCAUACUUUAUUCUAUAUAAUGGCAUAUUCUUUAGAGAUUCAUUCUAAAUAGUUAAAAUUUUAUGAGGAAUAAAGACAAAAUUUUAGUAUCGUUCGUUAGCGAAUUUUCACGGUUUUUUCAAUACUAAAUUGAAUAAAAGUGAUACUUCUAAGCCGAAUUUCGAAAAUCGGUCUAUUCCAAACGAAAGAGCAUACUUUUUUCUAUAUAAUGGCAUAUUCUUUAGAGAUUUUUUCUGAAUAGUUAAAAUUUUAUGAGGAAUAUAGACUAAAUUUUAGUAUCGUUCGUUAGCGAAUUUUCACGGUUUUU